CAGAUCAGAAUGCUGCGGUGAAUGCGUUCCCGGGUCUUGUACACACCGCCCGUCACACCACGGGAGUUGGAGACGCCCGAAGCCGAUUAUCUAACCUUUUGGAAGAAGUCGUCGAAGGUGGAAUCAAUAACUGGGGUGAAGUCGUAACAAGGUAGCCGUAUCGGAAGGUGCGGCUGGAUCACCUCCUUUCUAAGGAGA
rnacentral:rRNA from 1 species